rnacentral:rRNA from 1 species
ACACGUAAACAACCUGCCUUCAGGAUGGGGACGAACAGACGGAAACGACUGCUAAUACCGAAUAAGUUCCAAGAGCCGCAUGGCCCAUGGAAGAAAAGGUGGCCUCUACCUGUAAGCUAUCGCCUGAAGAGGGGUUUGCGUCUGAUUAGCUGGUUGGAGGGGUAACGGCCCACCAAGGCGACGAUCAGUAGCCGGUCUGAGAGGAUGAACGGCCACACUGGAACUGAGACACGGUCCAGACUCCUACGGGAGGCAGCAUG